rnacentral:rRNA from 1 species
UACGUAGGGUGCAAGCGUUGUCCGGAAUUAUUGGGCGUAAAGAGCUCGUAGGCGGUUUGUCGCGUCUGCUGUGAAAACUGGAGGCUCAACCUCCAGCCUGCAGUGGGUACGGGCAGACUAGAGUGCGGUAGGGGAGAUCGGAAUUCCUGGUGUAGCGGUGGAAUGCGCAGAUAUCAGGAGGAACACCGAUGGCGAAGGCAGAUCUCUGGGCCGUAACUGACGCUGAGGAGCGAAAGCAUGGGGAGCGAACAGG